rnacentral:rRNA from 1 species
AGGAUGAACGCUGGCGGCGUGCUUAACACAUGCAAGUCGAACGAUGAAGCAGAGCUUGCUCUGUGGAUUAGUGGCGAACGGGUGAGUAACACGUGAGUAACCUGCCCUUGACUCUGGAAUAAGCGUUGGAAACGACGUCUAAUACCGGAUACGAGCUUCCGCCGCAUGGUGAGGAGCUGGAAAGAUUUCGGUCAAGGAUGGACUCGCGGCCUAUCAGGUAGUUGGUGAGGUAAUGGCUCACCAAGCCUACGACGGGUA